AUUGAACGCUGGCGGCAGGCCUAACACAUGCAAGUCGAACGCGUGGCGGACGGGAGAGUAAUGUCUGGGACACUGCCUGAUGGAGGGGGAUAACUACUGGACACGGUAGCUAAUACCGCAUACCAUCGGAUGUGCCCAGAUGGGAUUAGCUAGUAGGUGGGGUAACGGCUCACCUAGGCGACGAUCCCUAGCUGGUCUGAGAGGAUGACCAGCCACACUGGAACUGAGACACGGUCCAGACUCCUACGGGAGGCAGCAGUGGGGAAUAUUGCACAAUGGGCGCAAGCCUGAUGCAGCCAUGCCGCGUGUAUGAAGAAGGCCUUCGGGUUGUAAAGUACUUUCAGCGGGGAGGCGUUACCAGCAGAAGAAGCACCGGCUAACUCCGUGCCAGCAGCCGCGGUAAUAC
rnacentral:rRNA from 1 species